UUAAUGUAGAGCAGGAACAGACAUGUUUUUAGGAGCAGUCACAUCCAAGCUUCAAAGCAUCAUCCCAGCUCCACCUAGCAACUGCCUCCAAAGUGAGCAGCACACCGACUUUUUUCCCCUCCUGUCUUUCCUUCUCACUCUCCUCUUUCAUUCCUUCACUCUUUCAACACACCCUUCUCACUGUGACUUAAAGUAAUGGAGAUAAAUUUACAAGCUCCCGUGCAGAUCUGCUGUCUUGGGAUCAGACUGUAUGGUGUGUUGUCAGACUUUUCCAUCUAAAGACUGGAAGACAAGGAGGCAGGCCAUCACAUUCAUGUCAGUGGAUGUAUACUGCUCACUCGCCCACAAAGAUGACAAAAGUCUGAGGAGCUUGAUCAAGCAUGAAUGACACAGAUGCUAAUUCCUCUCAGCCACUUUUCAAGAUGGGAAAUUCAAGAAAACGUGAUUCAAGAAAAGAAAA